rnacentral:rRNA from 1 species
UUGGAAGUAAAAAGUCGUAACAAGGUCUCCGUUGGUGAACCAGCGGAGGGAUCAUUA